AAGCUCCAGCACAGAUGGUCAUCUUCGAGAAUUACAAUCAUCCGUCGAGCAACACCUCUAACCGAUGUGAUGAAGGAGGAUGGAAAUCAAGGUGAUGCGGAUGCUACCGUUCCUACUCCCAUUGUCAUAAUAGAUCAAGAUUCCGA